AACGAGCGCUGGCGGCAUGCCUAACACAUGCAAGUCGAACGAGACCUUCGGGUCUAGUGGCGCACGGGUGCGUAACGCGUGGGAACCUGCCCUUAGGUUCGGAAUAACUCCCCGAAAGGGGUGCUAAUACCGGAUAAUGUCUUCGGACCAAAGAUUUAUCGCCUUUGGAUGGGCCCGCGUUGGAUUAGCUAGUUGGUAGGGUAAAAGCCUACCAAGGCGACGAUCCAUAGCUGGUCUGAGAGGAUGAUCAGCCACACUGGGACUGAGACACGGCCCAGACUCCUACGGGAGGCAGCAGUGGGGAAUAUUGGACAAUGGGCGAAAGCAUGAUCCAGCAAUGCCGCGUGAGUGAUGAAGGCCUUAGGGUUGUAAAGCUCUUUUACCCGGGAUGAUAAUGACAGUACCGGGAGAAUAAGCUCCGGCUAACUCCGUG
rnacentral:rRNA from 1 species